ACGGAAGGCAGCAGUGGGGAAUAUUGGACAAUGGGGGAAACCCUGAUCCAGCGACGCCGCGUGAGUGAAGAAGUAUUUCGGUAUGUAAAGCUCUAUCAGCAAGGAAGAAAAUGACGGUACUUGACUAAGAAGCUCCGGCUAAAUACGUGCCAGCAGCCGCGGUGAUACGUAUGGAGCAAGCGUUAUCCGGAUUUACUGGGUGUAAAGGGAGCGUAGAUGGCAAAGCAAGUCUGAAGUGAAAUCCCGGGGCUCAACCCCGGAACUGCUUUGGAAACUGUUUAGCUAGAGUGCAGGAGAGGUAAGCGGAAUUCCUAGUGUAGCGGUGAAAUGCGUAGAUAUUAGGAGGAACACCAGUGGCGAAGGCGGCUUACUGGACUGUAACUGACGUUGAGGCUCGAAAGCGUGGGGAGCAAACGGGAUUAGAUACCCUGGUA
rnacentral:rRNA from 1 species